GCUGCUGCUGCUGCUGUUGCAGCAGCAGCUGCUGCUGCUGCUGCAGCAGCAGCAGCAGCUGCUGCUGCUCGAAGGAGCAGCAGACG
rnacentral:snoRNA from 1 species